AACGAACGCUGGCGGCAUGCCUAACACAUGCAAGUCGAACGCCUGUAGCAAUACAGGAGUGGCGCACGGGUGAGUAACGCGUGGGAACCUGCCUAGUGGUAAGGAAUAACCGCGGGAAACUGCGGCUAAUACCUUAUGAGCCCUACGGGGGGAAAGAUUUAUCGCCAUUAGAGGGGGCCCGCGUCCGAUUAGCUAGUUGGUGAGGUAACGGCUCACCAAGGCUCCGAUCGGUAGCUGGUCUGAGAGGAUGAUCAGCCACACUGGGACUGAGACACGGCCCAGACUCCUACGGGAGGCAGCAGUGGGGAGUAUUGGACAAGUGGGGGCAACCCUGAUCCAGCAAUGCCGCGUGAGUGAUGAAGGCCUUAGGGUUGUAAAGCUCUUUCGACGGGGAAGAUGAUGACGGUACCCGUAGAAGAAGCCCCGGCUAACUUCGUGCCAGCAGCCGCGGUAAU
rnacentral:rRNA from 1 species